ensembl:lncRNA
UGCUAAUGGGCGAUUUUCUGUCCGGUGAGCGGUGACUUCUUUUUACUUUUACAGAACUGGUUGCCUCCUGGGUAUAAAUAUCACUUCUGCACCUAUCGUUUGUGCACUACACAAGGUGAUUCACACCUGGACCACACAAGUUUUGAGGCAUCACUAAGAAUUGCGUUGACAGAGAUUUGUGAAGUAAAAGAAUGGGUGAAAAAGCUUAGUGAAUCAUCAGGAGUGAGUUGGAGAGUGGCAGUGACAAAACCAAAUAAGGGACAACGUGUGCUUUAUAAGGCUCAUUAUAGGUGCCAGCACAAUGUUUAUGUCCGAUCAGACACGGCUAAUCAAAGACGGCUGUCAAAAAAUACAUGCUGUGAGGCAAAACUGAUUUGCACUCUGGUGAAGACUACAGACAAAAGGGGAGGAACUAGUAGAUACAGGAAGUUCCUGACCUAUCUACAGAGUCUUUACAGUCGACGUGAGAGUUGGGCUCUCAGCUAUAGGAGGGACUUGCCAACACGUGGCAACCAAACAAAUAACUAUGUGGAGGCUGCAAUGCGUGUCUUGAAAGACAAAAUACUUCAAAGGACAAAAGCAUUCAACCUGCCUCAAUUAUUCAACCUUUUCAUCACCCGACUAGAGAUGUACUAUAAAGCACGUGUGACAGACGUUGCACUUGGCCAUUGGGAGGCAUUCCACCGGUCAAGAUUACUUGCUACACAAAGUAAUAUAAAAGCAUCUGAUAUUUCUCAGGUUGGAGAAAAGACAUUUCAGGUGAGAUCGUCCACAUCAGGGCACACCUAUACAGUGGACAUGGAGUUGGAGCUCUGCACUUGUCCAGUUGGCCAUAGUGGGGCACCAUGCAAACACCAGGCAGCAGUAGUGCAAAAUUACAACAUCACCUCCAUCAACUUUCUCCCCACAACAGCUGAAAUGAGGGCUAAGCUGCUGAAAAUAACAAAAGCCUCAGUUUCUCUUGACUUUCUAAACCCUUUACGGCAAAAUAUGCCAACGCCAAGCACAUUAGCUCCAGACAUGCCUCCCAGGCAAGAAACCUGCACUAUUGAUCAUCAGUAUCAUCUCAGUGCUCAAGAUGAUGAGUCACAUCAGCUGGACCUGUCUUCCACCAGCUCUGCACAAUUGCGCCAAACAUCACCUAUGCAAGAGGACUCAUACUCCAACCAACCCUGUGUACAGGUUAACUCAGAGGGAGGUGAGACCAUGAAGCUUAGAGUUAUAUUAAAAAUUCUGUCUAGAUGUUUAUUUGGGCCAAGCACCUUUUUCUAAGUUUUCCCCCCCAAUGUUUCGGGGCAUUUUGGGGUCCUUAAAGGGAUAGUUCACCCUAAAAUGGUUAUUGGUUGGUAAUCAAACAGUUGCUGGUAGCCAUCGACUUCCAUAAUACUUUUCCCAUGCUAUGUAAGUUUGGAACAACAUUAUGGUGAGUAAAUGAUGACAGAUCUUUUUUUUUAUUUAUUUUUUUUAC